ensembl:lncRNA
AGAACUGUCUUAUGCCUUUUUAUGCAUCCUCAGUGCUUGGCGCAUGGUGAUCCCUGGGUCAUCAGAAACUGUGAGUCUGCUGAGAUUGUGGUGGUUAAUGCGGCUGAAGAUCCCAUUAGCUUGUUUAUUUUACAGAUGAGAAAACUGAGGCAAACAGGGUUAAGUGACUUGUCCAGGAUCACACAACUAGCAUCUGGGGACAGAUUUGAACUCAGGAAGAUGAGUGCCAAGUGAGGCAUCGUCUCUACUACGCCACCAAAGGCCUUCAAUGGUUCCUUUAAAUACUAAAUGAUUCACUGAUCUACGUGACAACCUGUACUGCUUACCCACCAUGCCAACAACAUUAAUAGUAGAAUUUAAAAAUUAAUAUGUAAUAAAUAAGAGAACAAUAAAUUAUAAGC